rnacentral:rRNA from 1 species
UCCUGGCUCAGGAUGAACGCUGGCGGCGUGCUUAACACAUGCAAGUCGAACGGUGAACACGGAGCUUGCUCUGUGGGAUCAGUGGCGAACGGGUGAGUAACACGUGACAACCUGCCCCUGACUCUGGGAUAAGCGCUGGAAACGGCGUCUAAUACUGGAUACGAACCAUGAAGGCAUCUUCAGUGGUUGGAAAGAUUUAUUGGUUGGGGAUGGGCUCGCGGCCUAUCAGCUUGUUGGUGAGGUAAUGGCUCACCAAGGCGUCGACGGGUAGCCGGCCUGAGAGGGUGACCGGCCACACUGGGACUGAGACACGGCCCAGACUCCUACGGGAGGCAGCAGUGGGGAAUAUUGCACAAUGGGCGCAAGCCUGAUGCAGCAACGCCGCGUGAGGGAUGACGGCCUUCGGGUUGUAAACCUCUUUUAGCAGGGAAGAAGCGAAAGUGACGGUACCUGCAGAAAAAGCGCCGGCUAACUACGUGCCAGCAGCCGCGGUAAUACGUAGGGGCAAGCGUUAUCCGGAAUUAUUGGGCGUAAAGAGCUCUAGGCGGUUUGUCGCGUCUGCUGUGAAAUCCGGAGGCUCAACCUCCGGCCUGCAGUGGGUACGGGCAGACUAGAGUGCGGUAGGGGAGAUUGGAAUUCCUGGUGUAGCGGUGAAUGCGCAGAUAUCAGGAGGAACACCGAGGCGAAGGCAGUCUGGGC